rnacentral:rRNA from 1 species
AUUGAACGCUGGCGGCGUGCUUAACACAUGCAAGUCGAUCGGUAACGCGGGGGCAACCCUGGCGACGAGAGGAGGACGGGUGAGGAACGCUUGGGAAUCUGCCUAUCAGCGGGGGACAACACGGGGAAACUCGUGCUAAUACCGCAUACGCUCUACGGAGGAAAGUCGGGGACCGCAAGGCCUGGCACUGAUAGAUGAGCCCAAGCCGGAUUAGCUAGUUGGCGGGGUAACGGCCCACCAAGGCGACGAUCCGUAGCUGGUCUGAGAGGACGAUCAGCCACACUGGGACUGAGACACGGCCCAGACUCCUACGGGAGGCAGCAGUGGGGAAUAUUGGACAAUGGGGGAAACCCUGAUCCAGCGACGCCGCGUGGGUGAAGAAGGCCUGCGGGUUGUAAAGCCCUUUCGGUAGGGACGAAAGCUCUCGACCUAACACGUCGGGAGGUUGACUUAACCUACAAAAGAAGCACCGGCUAACUCUGUGCCAGCCGCCGCGGUAACAC